CCUUCCUACUAUACUGCAUUGGGUACAACUUGCUUCAACUUCAAAACUCUGCUCAAGAAUCACUUCAUGCAUGAAGCUUCCCUUUGAUGAGGCUACUUGUGUCUGAUUUUAUUUAGAGUGUAAAGCUGUGGAAAGCUAUCUUUGCCUUGCUGUCCAACUGAGCAAUCUCGGCACCUUUUAUGGAAGCUGUCACCACAACAUAAUAGAACCCCUGGGGGACAUGUACCCCAUUACACUUCACUGUGGCUGAAGUGUAACCUCACUGCCAGAAUAAAGACACUCCAUUUUACUGUCAGUCCCUUGAAUGUGCUUUUAAAACUUUGAAUCACCAAAUGAAAGAACUGAGAUCUGCAGUGUUUCCAUCCCAUGAGCCUCUGUGUAGCAGGCGCUUUUUCAGAAUGUGGACCUCAUGGCCUCCAACAUCUGUAGCACACUGGGUUCCGUGGAGGGGCGUGAGGACUCCAUCUGCCUGCAGAACCAGAGCCAGGCCCUGGC